rnacentral:rRNA from 1 species
GCUUUUGGAGGGGGGUGCGUCCUAUCAGGUAGUUGGUGUGGUAAUAGCUCACCAAGCCUAUGACGGGUAGCCGGUCUGAGAGGAUGUCCGGCCGCAAUGGAACUGAGACACGGUCCAUACUCCUACGGGAGGCAGCAGAGGGGAAUCUUGCGCAAUGGGCGAAAGCCUGACGCAGCAAUCCCGCGUGAAGGAUGAAGCAUUAUGGUGUGUAAACUUCUUUUCUGGUGGAAGACGAAUGACGGUACACCAGGAAUAAGGGACGGCUAACUACGUGCCAGCAGCCGCGGUAAUACGUAGGUCCCAAGUGUUAUCCGGAAUUACUGGGCGUAAAGAGUCUGUAGCCGGGUUUGUAAGUCUGUUUUCAAAUCCUAUGGCUUAACCAUAGAGAGGGAAUGGAUACUGCAAACCUUGAGAUUAUUGGGGGUUGAUGGAAUUUCCGGUGGAGCGGUGAAAUGCGUUGAUAUCGGAAGGAACGCCAAAAGUGAAAGCAGUCAACUACAAUAAAUCUGACGGUCAGAGACGAAAGCUUUGGGGGAGCAAACGGGAUUAGAUACCCCGGUAGUCCAAGCCGUAAAUUAUGCAUGCUAGGUGUCUUGUUCACUUUAUGUGAGCGGGGUGCCGUAAUCUAACGAGUUAAGCAUGCCGCCUGGGUAGUAUAUUCGCAAGAAUGAAACUCAAAGGGAUAGGCGGGGGAACACACAAGCAGUGGAUUGUCUCGAUUAAUUGGAUAAUAAGCCAAGAAUCUUACCUAGACUUGACAUAUAUUGUGUCCUACGUGAAAGUGUAGUAAUCCCGAUUUUGUCGGGAUACGAUAUACAGGUGGUGCAUGGUCGUCGUCAGCUCGUGCCGCAAGAUGUCCAGUUAAGUCUGGGAACGAGCGCAACCCU